rnacentral:lncRNA from 1 species
AGCCUAUAUUCAUCCCCAUACUCUAAGAACUGGACUUACAACAUACACCUUGUCAACUUGAAAAUAAUAUAUAAUCUGUUCUGAUUUUCUCAUAGGAAAGAAGGAUUCAUAAAACAGUAGAAUCAAGAUGAAUGAUGUCUUUCAAGCACUUGAAAAGAGCAAGACAUCAGCAGGUGAACACCAAGAACAUAUCCUGUCCUUGGAGUCCUGUUCUAGGUGGAUACCUGGAAUGACUCAUCCAUAGAUCAGGAGAAUAGAAGAUCUACUUGAACUUCUUGAUUUAUAUAAAAUACUAUGAUAAUUUUGGAGUUCUAUUUGAGCAAAAGUGUGGAAUAAGAAUAAAGCAAGAUGGAUAAGGGGGCUGGAAGUGUGUGCCACCAAACGCUUACUAUAAAUAGAUCAAUCACACCAGGAAGCAAGCCUCUCCAGGCCUCUCAUUUAGGAAAUAGCAUUAUUAAAUUUGUAUGGCCUGGUGUAGUGGCACAUACCUAUAAUACCAGGACUUGGGAGGCUGAGUCAGGAGGAUUGCAAGUUCAAAGCCAGCCUCUGCAAAAGUGAAACGCUAAGCAAUUCAGUGAGAC